CGGAGAGAGCUUCAGGUCCAUCUCCGGGAUUGCCAUCUGAUCUGAUGGGGGUGAUAUUUGUGCAGGAUCGUCGGACCCCAUGCCCUUCAUUAGUUUUGUCAUCGUCGUGGUCUCCUAAUACCAGUCACUGCCCAAGCUCCAUCCCCAGUCCCAUUCUGUAGCUUCUGGCUCAUAUGAUGGGGGAGAUGACACUUCACCGGUAUCACUGGUUCCCUUGUCCUCCUCCCUGGCUAUAGGCAGAGAGAGCUUCAGGUCCAUCUCCGGGAUUGCCAUCUGAUCUGAUGGGGGUGAUAUUUGUGCAGGAUUGUUGGAUCCCAUGCCCUCCAUUAGCUUUGUCGAUUUUGUAGCUUUUGGCUCAUAUGAAGCUUCAGUCUUCUCUUUCUUUUGUGAGAGUGAAACAUCAGGGAUCCUAACCACAACCUCCACUCUACAUUUAAAACAAUAUAUCAAGGUUGGAUCAUCGUAAUGUGCAGCCCACCAGUGUUGAUUCUCAUAGUAGUGCAAUUUAACAUGGCCUUCUGGCUUGCUGCUAUCUGCACCACCACUGAACUACCUACUGCACUCCAAACAGACCCAGAUAUCGCUAUUCUUCACCUUUGCCUGAUCCUUGGUAGCAGCACCUCUUGUGUCCCCACCUUUCUCCUCCUCCUCCUCCUCCUCCUCCUCCUCCUCCUCCUCCUCCUCCUC
rnacentral:lncRNA from 1 species